GACGAACGCUGGCGGCGUGCUUAACACAUGCAAGUCGUACGGUAAGGCCCUUUCGGGGGUACACGAGUGGCGAACGGGUGCGUAACACGUGAGUAACCUGCCCACAACUUUGGGAUAACGCUAGGAAACUGGUGCUAAUACUGGAUAUGUGCUCCUGCUGCAUGGUGGGGGUUGGAAAGCUCCGGCGGUUGUGGAUGGACUCGCGGCCUAUCAGCUUGUUGGUGGGGUAGUGGCCUACCAAGGCGGCGACGGGUAGCCGGCCUGAGAGGGUGACCGGCCACAUUGGGACUGAGAUACGGCCCAGACGCCGACGGGAGGCAGCAGUGGGGAAUAUUGCACAAGGGGCGCAAGCCUGAUGCAGCAACGCCGCGGGCGGGAUGACGGCCUUCGGGUUGUAAACCGCUUUCAGCAGGGACGAAGCUUUUUGUGACGGUACCUGCAGAAGAAGCACCGGCUAACUACGUG
rnacentral:rRNA from 1 species